AUUGAACGCUGGCGGCAUGCCUUACACAUGCAAGUCGAACGGCAGCACGGGUGCUUGCACCUGGUGGCGAGUGGCGAACGGGUGAGUAAUACAUCGGAACAUGUCCUGUAGUGGGGGAUAGCCCGGCGAAAGCCGGAUUAAUACCGCAUACGAUCUACGGAUGAAAGCGGGGGACCUUCGGGCCUCGCGCUUUCGGGUUGGCCGAUGGCUGAUUAGCUAGUUGGUGGGGUAAAGGCCUACCAAGGCGACGAUCAGUAGCUGGUCUGAGAGGACGACCAGCCACACUGGGACUGAGACACGGCCCAGACUCCUACGGGAGGCAGCAGUGGGGAAUUUUGGACAAUGGGCGAAAGCCUGAUCCAGCAAUGCCGCGUGUGUGAAGAAGGUCUUCGGGUUGUAAAGCACUUUUAUCCGGAAAGAAAUCCUUGGCCCGAAUACGGUCGGGGGAUGACGGUACCGGAAGAAUAAGCACCGGCUAACUACGUG
rnacentral:rRNA from 1 species